rnacentral:rRNA from 1 species
GCAGGCUUAACACAUGCAAGUCGAACGGUAACAUAAAGGAGCUUGCUUCUUUGAUGACGAGUGGCGGACGGGUGAGUAAUGCUUGGGAAUCUAGCUUAUGGAGGGGGAUAACUACGGGAAACUGUAGCUAAUACCGCGUAGAAUCGGGAGAUGAAAGUGUGGGACCUUCGGGCCACAUGCCAUAGGAUGAGCCCAAGUGGGAUUAGGUAGUUGGUGAGGUAAAGGCUCACCGAGCCGACGAUCUCUAGCUGGUCUGAGAGGAUGACCAGCCACACUGGGACUGAGACACGGCCCAGACUCCUACGGGAGGCAGCAGUGGGGAAUAUUGCGCAAUGGGGGCAACCCUGACGCAGCCAUGCCGCGUGAAUGAAGAAGGCCUUCGGGUUGUAAAGUUCUUUCGGUAGCGAGGAAGGCAUUUAGUUUAAUAGACUAGGUGAUUGACGUUAACUACAGAAGAAGCACCGGCUAACUCCGUGCCAGCAGCCGCGGU